CUGCCAGACUCCUACGGGAGGCAGCAGUGGGGAAUAUUGCACAAUGGGGGAAACCCUGAUGCAGCGACGCCGCGUGAGUGAAGAAGUAUUUCGGUAUGUAAAGCUCUAUCAGCAGGGAAGAAAAUGACGGUACCUGAUUAAGAAGCCCCGGCUAACUACGUGCCAGCAGCCGCGGUAAUACGUAGGGGGCAAGCGUUAUCCGGAUUUAUUGGGUUUAAAGGGUGCGUAGGCGGACGCUUAAGUCAGCGGUAAAAUUGGGGGGCUCAACCUCGUCGAGCCGUUGAAACUGGGUGCCUUGAGUGGGCGAGAAGUACGCGGAAUGCGUGGUGUAGCGGUGAAAUGCAUAGAUAUCGCGCAGAACUCCGAUUGCGAAGGCAGCAUGCCGGCUCCACACUGACGCUGAGGCACGAAAGCGUGGGUAUCGAACAGGAUUAGAUACCCCUGUACG
rnacentral:rRNA from 1 species